rnacentral:rRNA from 1 species
AGAGUUUGAUCCUGGCUCAGGAUGAACGCUAGCUACAGGCUUAACACAUGCAAGUCGAGGGGCAGCGGGAUUGAAGCUUGCUUCAAUUGCCGGCGACGGGCGCACGGGUGAGUAACGCGUAUCCAACCUUCCGUACACUCAGGGAUAGCCUUUCGAAAGAAAGAUUAAUACCUGAUGGUAUGAUGAGAUUGCAUGAUAGCAUCAUUAAAGAUUUAUCGGUGUACGAUGGGGAUGCGUUCCAUUAGGUAGUAGGCGGGGUAACGGCCCACCUAGUCUUCGAUGGAUAGGGGUUCUGAGAGGAAGGUCCCCCACAUUGGAACUGAGACACGGUCCAAACUCCUACGGGAGGCAGCAGUGAGGAAUAUUGGUCAAUGGGCGAGAGCCUGAACCAGCCAAGUAGCGUGAAGGAUGACUGCCCUAUGGGUUGUAAACUUCUUUUAUAAAGGAAUAAAGUCGGGUAUGGAUACCCGUUUGCAUGUACUUUAUGAAUAAGGAUCGGCUAACUCCGUGCCAGCAGCCGCGGUAAUACGGAGGAUUCGAGCGUUAUCCGGAUUUAUUGGGUUUAAAGGGAGCGUAGAUGGAUGUUUAAGUCAGUUGUGAAAGUUUGCGG